CCUACGGGUGGCAGCAGUGAGGAAUAUUGGUCAAUGGGCGAGAGGCUGAACCAGCCAAGUAGCGUGAAGGAUGACGGCCCUACGGGUUGUAAACUUCUUUUAUAAAGGAAUAAAGUGAGGCACGUGUGCCGUUUUGAGUGUACUUUAUGAAUAAGGAUCGGCUAACUCCGUGCCAGCAGCCGCGGUAAUACGGAGGAUCCGAGCGUUAUCCGGAUUUAUUGGGUUUAAAGGGAGCGUAGAUGGGUUGUUAAGUCAGUUGUGAAAGUUUGCGGCUCAACCGUAAAAUUGCAAUUGAUACUGGCAGUCUUGAGUACAGUUGAGGUAGGCGGAAUUCGUGGUGUAGCGGUGAAAUGCUUAGAUAUCACGAAGAACUCCGAUUGCGAAGGCAGCUUACUAAACUGCCACUGACAUUGAUGCUCGAAAGUGUGGGUAUCAAACAGGAUUAGAUACCCGGGUAGUC
rnacentral:rRNA from 1 species